GACGAACGCUGGCGGCGUGCCUAACACAUGCAAGUGGAGCGACGAACCAGGCUUCGGCCUGGGGCAAAGCCGCGAACGGGUGAGUAACACGUGGGUAACCUGCCCUGAUGAUUGGGACAACCCGAGGAAACUCGGGCUAAUACCAAAUGUGCCCUACGGCCACAAGGCCGUCGGGGAAAGGAAGCUUCGGCCUCCGCAUCGGGAUGGGCCCGCGGCCCAUUAGCUUGUUGGUGAGGUAACGGCUCACCAAGGCGACGAUGGGUAGCUGGUCUGAGAGGACGAUCAGCCACACUGGGACUGAGACACGGCCCAGACUCCUACGGGAGGCAGCAGUGGGGAAUCUUGCGCAAUGCGCGAAAGCGUGACGCAGCAACGCCGCGUGGGGAAGAAGGCC
rnacentral:rRNA from 1 species